GAUGAACGCUGGCGGCGUGCCUAAUACAUGCCAGUCGAGCGAACAGACGAGGAGCUUGCUCCUCUGACGUUAGCGGCGGACGGGUGAGUAACACGUGGAUAACCUACCUAUAUGACUGGGAUAACUUCGGGAAACCGGAGCUAAUACCGGAUAAUAUAUUGAACCGCAUGGUUCAAUAGUGAAAGACGGCUUUGCUGUCACUUAUAGAUGGAUCCGCGCCGCAUUAGCUAGUUGGUAAGGUAACGGCUUACCAAGGCUACGAUGCGUAGCCGACCUGAGAGGGUGAUCGGCCACACUGGAACGGGGACACGGUCCAGACUCCUACGGGAGGCAGCAGUAGGGAAUCUUCCGCAAUGGGCGAAAGCUUGACGGAGCAACGCCGCGUGAGUGAUGAAGGCCUUCGGAUCGUAAAACCCUGUUAUUAGGGAAGAACAAAUGUGUAAGUAACUAUGCACGUCUUGACGGUACCUAAUCAGAAAGCCACGGCUAACUACGUG
rnacentral:rRNA from 1 species